rnacentral:rRNA from 1 species
AUGAACGCUAGCGGCAGGCCUAAUACAUGCAAGUCGAGGGGCAGCGGGGUAGCAAUACUGCCGGCGACCGGCGCACGGGUGCGUAACACGUAUGCAACCUACCUUAAACUGGGAGAUAGCCCGGGGAAACUCGGAUUAAUACCCCAUAAUACAUUUGGAACACAUGUUUUGAUUGUUAAAGAUUUAUCGGUUUAAGAUGGGCAUGCGUUCGAUUAGCUAGUUGGUGAGGUAAUGGCUCACCAAGGCUACGAUCGAUAGGGGGUCUGAGAGGAUGAUCCCCCACACUGGUACUGAGAUACGGACCAGACUCCUACGGGAGGCAGCAGUAGGGAAUAUUGGUCAAUGGAGGCAACUCUGAACCAGCCAUGCCGCGUGUAGGAAGAAGGCGUUCUGCGUUGUAAACUACUUUUGAUGGGAGCAAAUGACUCUUGCGAGAGUAGCUGAGUGUACCAAUAGAAUAAGCCACGGCUAACUACGU